rnacentral:rRNA from 1 species
GACGGAAGGUGCAAGCGUUGCUCGGAAUCACUGGGCGUAAAGGGUGCGUAGGCGGCUUGGUAGGUCUGGUGUGAAAGCCCCGGGCUCAGCCCGGGAAGGGCACUAGAAACUGCCAAGCUAGAGUGCCGGAGGGGAGAGUGGAAUUCCUGGUGUAAGCGGUGAAAUGCGUAGAGAUCAGGAGGAAUACCGGUGGCGAAAGCGACUCUCUGGACGGCAACUGACGCUGAGGCACGAAAGCGUGGGGAGCAAACAGG